rnacentral:rRNA from 1 species
UAGGGAAUCUUCCGCAAUGGACGAAAGUCUGACGGAGCAACGCCGCGUGAGUGAAGAAGGAUUUCGGUUCGUAAAACUCUGUUGUUAGGGAAGAAAAAAUGUAUAGUAACUAUAUACAAAAGAGACGGUACCUAACCAGAAAGCCACGGCUAACUACGUGCCAGCAGCUGCGGUAAUACGUAGGUGGCAAGCGUUGUCCGGAAUUAUUGGGCGUAAAGCGCGCGCAGGUGGUUUAGAAAGUAUGAUGUGAAAGCCCACGGCUCAACCGUGGAGGGUCAUUGGAAACUAAUAAACUUGAGUGCAGGAGAGAAAAGUGGAAUUCCUAGUGUAGCGGUGAAAUGCGUAGAGAUUAGGAGGAACACCGGUGGCGAAAGCGGCUUUUUGGCCUGCAACUGACACUGAGGCGCGAAAGCGUGGGGAGCAAACAGG